rnacentral:lncRNA from 1 species
UCAACCUAUAGAGAUAUAAUGAUUCAAGUAACAUUCUAAUAUCAUUUUCAAGUGAGCAAUAGCAACCACUUUUCUCUUUUGUUUACUUACUGGUAUUCCUGGAGUCCCAUAAGAAUGUCCCAUUAUGCGUGAACCAAUAUUCAACAUUAUCAACUAACCGGUCAUCCCCAUACUCCAUCCGGUAUAAGCACCAAAAAUAUCAUCUUUUAAUACCCCGUCG